rnacentral:sRNA from 3 species
AUAUCUCUCUGUACGGGAAGGAUGAGAAGCUUCGACUAAGGUUCGAUUCGAGCGCAGCGAGAAAGCG